AUGGCCUGGAGCUCUGUUCUCCUUGUGCUCUUCUGUCACUGCACAGGUUCCCUGUCCCAGCCUGUGCUGACCCAGACGCCCUCCCUCUCUACAUCUCCGGGAACAACAGCCAGACUCACCUGCACCCUGAGCAGGGACAUCAGUGUUGGUAAUAAAAACAUGUACUGGUACCAGAAAAGCCUGGAAGUCCUCCCCAUUUUUUCCUGUACUACUACACAGAUCCAGACAAGAAGCUGGGACCUGGGGUCCCCAGUCGUGUCUCUGGUUCCAAAGAUGCCACCACUGAUAUGGCAAGUUUGCUCAUCUCUGACCUGCAGCCUGAGAACGAGGCUGACUAUUACUGCAGUGUAGGUUACACCAGUGGGAGCAGUUUUCAUUACCCACAGUCCUCAGCCCAGUCUGUGCUGACUCAGCCACCCCCCAUGUCUGGGGCCAGGGACUACAGUGUCACCAUCUCCUACACUGGAAGCAGCUUCAACCUCAGUAGUAAUUAUGUGAAUGGCACCAACAGCUCCCAGGAACAGCCCCCCAAACCAUCAUCUAUCAUUAUAACAAAUGACUCUUACGGGUCCCUGAUAGAUUCCUCAUUCCUGAUCAGUCAGUUCAGGCACCCUGACCAUCACUGGGCUCUAGGCUGA